UCUUCUUCUUCUCCGUUCUGUCUCUGUUCUUUUCCUCUUUUCCUCUGCAAAUUCUUCCUUCACCCGUAUCAAUCGAUGGAGCGGAAUUUUGAGGUUAUUAUUUGCACCAGUGAAGGUUAUAAGACUUGGACCAAUGGGUGGAGAUGAUAUUGAAGCUACUGAUUUCAGAAACAAGAUGAAUAUGUAAUCAGAAAGAAUGGAGCGCGCGAAGAUAUUCGUUUUCGUAGCUUAGUGCUCUACCGAAUUUAGUGUUGUUAUAUAUUCUUUCUUUAUUCUGUAAAACAACAUAUUUAUAUAAUUAUAUAACAUGAGAGAAUUUCAAA